UACGAAGGGGGCUAGCGUUGUUCGGAAUUACUGGGCGUAAAGCGCGCGCAGGCGGUUCUCCAAGUCAGUGGUGAAAGCCCGGAGCUCAACCUGGGAAUGGCGAUGGAGACUGCAAGGCUAGAGUGUGUCAGAGGGGGGUAGAAUUCCACGUGUAGCAGUGAAAUGCGUAGAUAUGUGGAGGAACACCGAUGGCGAAGGCAGCCCCCUGGGAUAACACUGACGCUCAUGCACGAAAGCGUGGGGAGCAAACAGG
rnacentral:rRNA from 1 species